CAGAGUUUGAUCCUGGCUCAGGAUGAACGCUGGCGGCGUGCCUAACACAUGCGAGUCGAACGGGGAUAGCAAUAUUCCAGUGGCGCACGGGUGAGUAACACGUAGCUAACCUGCCCUGAAGAGAGGGAUAACGUUCCGAAAGGAAUGCUAAGACCACAUACGCUCGUCGGUUGCAGAGACCGGUGAGGAAAGUCGCAAGACGCUUCAGGAGGGGGCUGCGGCCCAUCAGGUAGUUGGUGGGGUAAACGCCUACCAAGCCGACGACGGGUAGGGGGCCUGAGAGGGUGGUCCCCCACACUGGGACUGAGACACGGCCCAGACUCCUACGGGAGGCAGCAGUGAGGGAUAUUGGUCAAUGGGGGAAACCCUGAACCAGCGACGCCGCGUGGGUGAAGAAGGUCUUCGGAUCGUAAAACCCUUUUCUGCGUGAAGAGGAAAGGACGGUAGCGCAGGAAGAAGUCUCGGCUAACUACGUGCCAGCAGCCCCGGUCAA
rnacentral:rRNA from 1 species